GCCACCGUAGCUCAAUCGGUAAGCCCUUUCUUAAAAAGAAAGCGCUUGCGGAAAGAAACAUAAAAAUCGCUUGCGGAAAGAAGUGUGUUUGUGAGAAGAAGGGGUUCGGGAAAGAGCAUUGGUUUUGUAAACCAAAGGUUGGGGGUUCAAUUCCUCCCGGUGGCU
rnacentral:tRNA from 1 species